GGGCCUCGGCCAGGCCUGAGAUGCCGGGAGGGUUUGACCCUGGGGCUGCAUGGACAGCUUAGCGCUCGGCCGCUGGCGACAGCGGAGGGCGGAGGAUCUGCAGGUUCCGGGGGACGUGACAUGUUUUGAGCGCCUGCUGUGUCUCAAGCCCUGUCCUAGGCACUGGAGAUGAGAUGAAGAAACGAUGAGUAGAGGCCUUGCUUACGUUUAUCCUGCAACUCAUGAUGAGGCUUACUCUGCAACUCCAGUGCUCGGCUUUUUACACAACAGAGUCUCUGUUGCCCAGGCUGGAGUACAGUCGCACGAUCUUGGCUCACUGCAACCUCUGCCUCUCAGGUUCGAGUGAUUCUUCUGCCUCAGCCUCCCAAGUUGCUGGGAUUACAGAAACGGGUAUGCAGGAGAUUAGAAGCCAGUGGGCAUGAGCGUGGCUGCCACCAGGUGAAUGCCUGUGCCCUGGCGUCCUGGGGCCCAGAGGACCGGGAGCUUCCAUCAAGAGGCUGCCUCCCAGCACCAAGGCCAGAGAGUGGCCAGGGGAGGCUAAGUACAGGGAUUUCUCAGAAUGGUGGAAGGAGCUCAGCCCAGCCUUGCCCAAGAUGUAUUGCAGGGGAAUCUAUGGAGUUUUGCUCUCGUUGCCCACGCUGGAGUGCAAUGGCAUGAUCUCAGCUCACUGCAACCUCCGCUUCCCAGGUUCAAGCGAUUCUCCUGCCUCAGCCACCCAAGUAGUUGGGAUUACAGGUGUGUGCCACCAUGCCUGGCGACUUUUGUAUUUUCAGUAGAGAUGGGGUUUCACCUUGUUGAUCAGGCUGGUCUCAAACUCCUGACCUCAAGUGAUCCACCCACCUCGGCCUCCCAAAGUGCUGGGAUUACAGGCGAGAGCCACCGUGCCCGGCCAUGACCUUCUUUAGUUCUUUGACCAUAUUUAAAAUGGCUGAGGUGAAGUCUCUGGUAAGUUCAUGUCUGGGCUUUGUGUUCUGUUUGCCCUUCCAGGUCAGAUCCACUGCCCACCUUUCCUGGCAUCUGCACAGGAGGCCAGCCUGCAUGGCUUACAUCCAGGGGGUGCCGGGGGCACCUGGGCUCUCCCACUUCCCUUUGGGCUCAGCCGCUAGGGGGAUUUGGGGCAGGCAACAGGAGGCUGGAGAACGAGGGCAGGGUAUGUGGCCAUGUCCCCUGGCCAGUGUCACUCAGCAGCAUGUGUCAUCUCCUCCUUCCAGGUUCUGGUAGCCGCUGCUGCCCUUUAUCCCUUGGGUCUGGCCCCUGCACUGUCCCUCGCGGCUCCCAGGACAACUUUGUGACAAAUCCUUUUGUAAUAACCCCUUUGUGAGGUCUCCUGUUCGCCCAUGUAUCUGUUUCCUGUUGGGGCUAUGACUGGUACAGAAGGGUGCACGCCCACUUUCAAGUGUUGACGCCUCCAAGAAGGAAGGGAGGAAGAUGAGGCAAGGGUGUGACAGGUGUCCCUCGGCACAGGGCACAGCAGGUGCUCUAAAGACAUUUCAUCAUACAAAGAUGCAUGCUGGUAAAGACGGAUGAUUGUCUUAGAGGUCCAAGCUUUUACUGUAGGCCUUUGUAGAAUUCUCUUGAGAAGGGACAGUGUUUUGUGGUAGUAAAGACGAAUAUGCUGUUAAAGGAAGAAAAAAUGACUCCUCUGGCAGAUGGUAAUGGCAGGAAUCGUCAACAUCUUUAACCCACAGAGGGCUGCUGUCAUCCUGUCACACAGGUACUCGGGGAGAAGCAGAGAGCUAGCCACAGCCAGGGCUCUGCCCAUUAAGGAAAAAUGGCUUCAGCAAAAAGGGAAGGAGAUGUGGGGUGCAGUUCUCUCCUCCCCCAGUCCACAGGGAUGACUUGCAGCUAGAUGUACCAGAGGUGAGGGCAUCAAUCUGGGUGUUUCACGUAAUGGUCCCAGAUGGAGUGAGGUGUGUCCCUGUUGGCCCUGCUGUCCUUCCGGCUCCACAGAGAGGUCAUGGAGAGCCCAGCGAGGAAGGCUUCCAAAAAGGAAAGGGGGACGUUUUGAGGGAGUUCAUGCGUGGUGGCAAACCCCACAAAGAAGCCGUUGCAGUGAGAGAUGAAAGAAGGGCUGAGGCCACACACGUGUGCCCCAAGGGUGUGGAGGAGAAGGCGCUGGGCAGCAGGUGCAACCAGAAGCAGCUGGCCCUGGGCCCUUUUCAUUCCAAGGUUAGAAGCAAAUAAAAACUCCCUCUUCACAAACAUCGUUCUCUUGCUCCGUGGAAUUGUGUUUUACCAAAAGUGGAAAAGGGUUUUCCCAUUAUUGCUGAUCAAAUCACUUUUCAAGCCUGACCAAACAGGAGGCAAGGCAUUUUAAUUGUCUGCAGUAAGACUCACAGUCGAGGCACAAUGAGCCUGAUGCUCCUCGUCAGACCUGCCUCUGGUGGCUGGUGUGGGCCAUCUGUGAGUCCCAGAGUCUGAUGACUUGAGGUCCCACUGGCCCAGCCCCAGUCUAGAUUGGGGUCAGUACGAGGCUUCUCUUUGGGUGUCACUGGGGGCUGCUUGCUUUGAGAGAGACAGAGACAAACUGGGACGUGUCAAGAAGAGAGAGUAGGAUGAUGCGGGGACUUGAGAUCAUGCCAGGGCAGAGGUUUAAAUGAGCAAUUUCGAAAGGUUCCUUUGUGUCUAAGAGAGAGUAGAAUGGUGCGGGGGCUUGAGAUCACACCGGGGCAAAAGGUCUAAAGAGCAAUUUCUAAAGGUUCCUUUGUGUCUAAGAUUCUGGGUCUUGGCCAGCUGCGUUGGUUCACACCUAUAAUCCCAAGACUUUGGGAGGCUAAGGCGAGUGGAUCGCCUGAGGCCAGGAGUUCUAGACCAGCCUGGACAACAUGAUGAAACCCUGUCUCUACC
rnacentral:lncRNA from 1 species